CAAGCGGUGGAUUAUGUUGUUUAAUUCGACGCAACGCGAAGAACCUUAACCAGGCCUUGACAUACUCGGCAAAGCUCUAGAGAUAGAGUGGAGGUUAUCCGGGAUACAGGUGGUGCAUGGUUGUCGUCAGCUCGUGUCGUGAGAUGUUGGGUUAAGUCCCGCAACGAGCGCAACCCUUGUCUUUAGUUACCAUCAUUCAGUUGGGGACUCUAGAGAGACUGCCGGUGAUAAACCGGAGGAAGGUGGGGAUAACGUCAAAUCAUCAUGCCCCUUAUGGCCUGGGCUACAAACGUAAUACAAUGGCGUAUACAAAGGGAUGCGAAAGGGCGACCUGGAGCAAAACUCACAAAGUACGUCUCAGUUCAGAUUGGAGUCUGCAACUCGACUCCAUGAAGGCGGAAUCGCUAGUAAUCGCGGAUCAGCAUGCCGCGGUGAAUACGUUCUCGGGGUUU
rnacentral:rRNA from 1 species